GUGGAUGUAGCUCAAUGGUAGAGUAUGCACUUAAGAUGCGUGAGGUCCUGGAUUUGAUCCCCAACACCAACA
rnacentral:tRNA from 1 species